UUUCCGUAGGUGAACCUGCGGAAGGAUCAUUCAUAAUAAAGUGCUUUAUGGCACUUUUUAAAAAUCCAUAUCCACCUUGUGUGCAAUGUUAGAUCUCGUCAAUCUUGGCGAGAUUUUUAUACAUCAACUCAUUUUUUAACUAAUUUUUCUGAAACAUAUUAUGAAUACUUAAUUCAAAAUACAACUUUCAACAACGGAUCUCUUGGCUCUC
rnacentral:misc_RNA from 1 species